CAGUAGCCGCGGUAAUACGGAGGGGGCUAGCGUUGUUCGGAAUCACUGGGCGUAAAGCGCACGUAGGCGGCUUGGUAAGUUAGAGGUGAAAGCCUGGAGCUCAACUCCAGAAUUGCCUUUAAGACUGCCGAGCUAGCAGGUGAGAGAGGUAAGUGGAAUUCCGAGUGUAGAGGUGAAAUUCGUAGAUAUUCGGAAGAACACCAGUGGCGAAGGCGGCUUACUGGCUCAUACUGGACGCUGAGGUGCGAAAGCGUGGGGAGCAAACAGGAUUAGAUACCCCCGUAGUCCCUGUCUCUUAUAC
rnacentral:rRNA from 1 species